GGUUGAUCCUGCCAGUAGCAUAUGCUUGUCUCAAAGAUUAAGCCAUGCAUGUCUAAGUAUAAACACCUUUAUACCGCGAAACUGCGUACAGCUCAUUACAUCAGUUAUGAUUUCUUUGAAGAUUGAAUUGUACUAUAUGGAUACCCGUAGUAAUUCUAGAGCUAAUACGUGCGUAGGGGUGGCGCGGCGACGUGUCACUGUAUUGAUUAGAUUUCUUUCAUUGGGGGGCUUACUAUCUGGGUGCGUAAGUAUUCAGAUUACUAGGUGACUCAUAAUCACUGUUCGGAUCGCG
rnacentral:rRNA from 1 species